GCUUAUAUAUCAGCCAUGGCUGAUUGAAGUUUGUUGCAUUCAACUAUACCUGCUGGCAUGUGAAUAAUGCUCGUAUGAAAUCAUGUAAAGCCUGUUAUUAAAAAUUCAACCAGGUGUGUGGACAGAUGUUUGGACAGAAAUCUAGCUAGUGCACCAACAUUUACCAAGGUCAAAUAAGGUUUGGAAUGCAUUUUAUUAGGGCACAUGGAUUUCGCAUGUG